rnacentral:rRNA from 1 species
GACGAACGCUGGCGGCGUGCUUAACACAUGCAAGUCGAACGCUGAAGACCUGGCUUUUGUUGGGUUGGAUGAGUGGCGAACGGGUGAGUAACACGUGAGUAACCUGCCCUCUUCUUUGGGAUAACGCCCGGAAACGGGUGCUAAUACUGGAUAUUCACUUAUCUUCGCAUGGGGGUUGGUGGAAAGGUUUGUUCUGGUGGGGGAUGGGCUCGCGGCCUAUCAGCUUGUUGGUGGGGUGAUGGCCUACCAAGGCUUUGACGGGUAGCCGGCCUGAGAGGGUGACCGGUCACAUUGGGACUGGGAUACGGCCCAGACGCCGACGGGAGGCAGCAGUGGGGAAUAUUGCACAAUGGGCGAAAGCAUGAUGCAGCGACGCCGCGUGAGGGAUGGAGGCCUUCGGGUUGUAAACCUCUUUCGCUCAUGGUCAAGCCGCAACUGUGGGUUGCGGUGAGGGUAGUGGGUAAAGAAGCGCCGGCUAACUACGUG